AAAAUCCCAGUGGAGGGGAAGAAGACCUGAGACUGCAUGGAGGAGAACCAGGGAACCCAGAUACAUGACCCAGUAGAGCCAUUCCAACCACCCAUCUGUGAAUGAAGAAAUCAUGAACUUCCAGCUCCAGGAGACGUCACAUGGAUCCAAGAUGAUCUGUCCCUACUGUAACCUGUCAGAAUUCUUGAAUCACAGAAUUCUGAUCAAACAAAACACUUACUGUUUUAAACCAUUACGUUUUGGGGUGCUUUACAUGUGGCAUAGAUAAUCGAGCCAUCUAUCCCUGAGGCGUAGAACCAGGUGGCCCCACGUCUCCUGUGAUGGUCUCUUCAUUCUGUGACUUCUAUCACUUUCUGCAUUAUGUGGGUUCCAGGAAGCCCAAAAGAGAGGUUCCCCAGCUCUCUUCACCUCAACUGGGGCAGACUUCCUUGCCCCUGAGCCACCCUGAUCUUCUAGGGAUCCCAGGAAGUGUCCCUGCCCACACACCUCCCCCAUCCCAUCUUUGCAGACAGGGAGACAUGGAGUGAGAGAUUCUUCUGGGGAGACUGGUGUGGAGCUGAGAGAGGAACAGAGCCCCCCUCCCUUCCCUGUUGACAUUUGAAAAGGACAAAAUUGGAAGGAAGCAAAUAUUCAAAUGCUGGAAAAGGGCAGUGACCGUGACUGCACAGUAUUUGAAGAAUGUAAUAUUCAGAUCUCCUAGCAAGGUUAACAGUAA
rnacentral:lncRNA from 1 species